rnacentral:rRNA from 1 species
CACCACAGGGAUUGCCUCAGUAGCGGCGAGUGAAGCGGCAAGAGCUCAGAUUUGAAAUCGUGCUUUGCGGCACGAGUUGUAGAUUGCAGGUUGGAGUCUGUGUGGAAGGCGGUGUCCAAGUCCCUUGGAACAGGGCGCCCAGGAGGGUGAGAGCCCCGUGGGAUGCCGGCGGAAGCAGUGAGGCCCUUCUGACGAGUCGAGUUGUUUGGGAAUGCAGCUCCAAGCGGGUGGUAAAUUCCAUCUAAGGCUAAAUACUGGCGAGAGACCGAUAGCGAACAAGUACUGUGAAGGAAAGAUGAAAAGCACUUUGAAAAGAGAGUGAAACAGCACGUGAAAUUGUUGAAAGGGAAGGGUAUUGCGCCCGACAUGGGGAUUGCGCACCGCUGCCUCUCGUGGGCGGCGCUCUGGGCUUUCCCUGGGCCAGCAUCGGUUCUUGCUGCGGAGAAGGGGUUCUGGAACGUGGCUCUUCGGAGUGUUAUAGCCAGGGCCAGAUGCUGCGUGCGGGGACCGAGGACUGCGGCCGUGUGGUCACGGAUGCUGGCAGAACGGCGCAACACCGUCCAGUCUGGAAACACGGACCAU